rfam:Claviceps purpurea 20.1, WGS project CAGA01000000 data, contig: scaffold00106
GGCCGUGUGGCUCAAUGGCAGAGCGUCUGACUACGAUUGCCGAUCUGCGUGUGCGGGUCAUGUGUUAUCAGAAGGUCGCAGGUUCGACCCCUGUCUCGGUCA